rnacentral:misc_RNA from 1 species
CGCUCCGGUCGGGCGAGCUGAGAAGCAGUCCGAGCACCAGAAAGCAGCGCGCGGCACGCAGGGACUGGCGGGGUCGAGCGGCCGGGUUGGGCACCGGCGCGUAUCCUUGCAGGGAGGCCGCGGCCAUGGGGAAGGGGAAGAUGGCUGGGCGAGCAGCGAGGAGCGCCAUGGAGCAUCGUGGCGAGGAGGAGAACGGAAGGGUGGCUUGGCACGCGCCAUGGGAGCUUCAAGGCCGUGCGAGCGCAGGGAGAACAACGCCGUGGGGAAGAGCCGCUCGGCUGGGCGUGCUCCCGCAGAAGAAAUAGAGGCCGAGCGCCUAGGAGAUCCGGCCGGAGUUGGAGAGAGCUCCGCGCGAUGAAGAAUAUCAGGGAGAGGGAGCUGAACGGAGUACCAGGGGUGGUGGUAUAUA